GAAGUUUUCAGAGAUGAGAAUGUGCCUUCGGGAACCGUGAGACAGGUGCUGCAUGGCUGUCGUCAGCUCGUGUUGUGAAAUGUUGGGUUAAGUCCCGCAACGAGCGCAACCCUUAUCCUUUGUUGCCAGCGGUCCGGCCGGGAACUCAAAGGAGACUGCCAGUGAUAAACUGGAGGAAGGUGGGGAUGACGUCAAGUCAUCAUGGCCCUUACGACCAGGGCUACACACGUGCUACAAUGGCGCAUACAAAGAGAAGCGACCUCGCGAGAGCAAGCGGACCUCAUAAAGUGCGUCGUAGUCCGGAUUGGAGUCUGCAACUCGACUCCAUGAAGUCGGAAUCGCUAGUAAUCGUGGAUCAGAAUGCCACGGUGAAUACGUUCCCGGGCCUUGUACACACCGCCCGUCACACCAUGGGAGUGGGUUGCAAAAGAAGUAGGUAGCUUAACCUUCUGGAGGGCGCUUACCACUUUGUGAUUCAUGACUGGGGUGAAGUCGUAACAAGGUAACCGUAGGGGAACCUGCGGUUGGAUCACCUCCUUACCUUAAAGAAGC
rnacentral:rRNA from 1 species